UAAAGGUAUAGAAAAAGACACUAGCGCAAACUAGCGUCCGUGUAGAACCGUUUAAGACGGUGGCUACGCAAUUAUAAUACUAAA
rfam:Brochothrix thermosphacta DSM 20171 = FSL F6-1036 c30, whole genome shotgun sequence.